rnacentral:rRNA from 1 species
AAAUGGAAAGCCCGGUGCAAGCGAAGUAGUCGCAGGGUUGGAAAAUCCGCCCUGCAUAAGACGAAGGCGUGAUGCGGAGCGAAAUGAAGUGGUGAAGCUGCGGCCCCUUCCUGUCGAGAAAAGCCGCUAUCGUGUAGCAAGGGCCCGUACCGUAAACCGACACAGGUGGAUGAGGAGAGGAUCCUAAGGCCGGCGGGAGAAGUGUUGUUAAGGAACUCGGCAAAAUGACUCCGUAACUUCGGGAGAAGGAGUGCUGCGCAAGCAGCCGCAGAGAAAUGGCCCAAGCAACUGUUUAGCAAAAACACAGGUCUAUGCGAAACCGAAAGGUGAGGUAUAUGGGCUGACGCCUGCCCGGUGCUGGAAGGUUAAGGGGAGAGCUUAGCGCAAGCGAAGGUUUGAACUUAAGCCCCAGUAAACGGCGGCCGUAACUAUAACGGUCCUAAGGUAGCGAAAUUCCUUGUCGGGUAAGUUCCGACCCGCACGAAAGGCGUAAUGAUUUCGGCACUGUCUCAACAACACACCCGGUGAAAUUGAAAUACCAGUGAAGAUGCUGGUUACCCGCGCCAGGACGGAAAGACCCCAUGGAGCUUUACUCCAGCCUGAUACUGGGAUUCGGUAUUGCAUGUACAGGAUAGGUGGGAGGCUAAGAACUCAUGGCGCCAGCCGUGAGGGAGCCGAUGUUGGGAUACCACCCCUGCAGUACUGGGUUUCUAACCUGCGCCCGUGACCCGGGCGGGGGACAAUGUCAGGCGGGGAGUUUGACUGGGGCGGUCGGCUCCGAAAGGGUAUCGGAGGCGCUCAAAGGUCUCCUCAGGAUGGUUGGAAACCAUCCAGAGAGUGCAAAGGCAGAAGGAGGCUUGACUGCGACACCGACGGGUGGAGCAGGUACGAAAGUAGGACUUAGUGAUCCGGUGGCAUAAAGUGGGAUUGCCAUCGCUCAACGGAUAAAAGCUACCCUGGGAUAACAGGCUUAUCACUCCCAAGAGUUCACAUCGACGGAGUGGUUUGGCACCUCGAUGUCGGCUCAUCGCAUCCUGGAGCUGGAGCAGGUUCCAAGGGUUGGGCUGUUCGCCCAUUAAAGCGGUACGCGAGCUGGGUUCAGAACGUCGUGAGACAGUUCGGUCCCUAUCCGGCGCGGGCGCAGGAUAUCUGAGAGGAGCUGUCCUUAGUACGAGAGGACCGGGAUGGACCGUCCGCUGGUGGACCGGUUGUCAUGCCAAUGGCACGGCCGGGUAGCCAAGACGGGAAGGGAUAAACGCUGAAGGCAUCUAAGCGUGAAGCCCCCCUCAAGAUGAGAUAUCCAUACUCGAAAGAGUGAGAGACCCCUUAGAGACGAUGAGGUAGAUAGGGCAGAGAUGGAAGUGCAGCGAUGCAUGGAGUUGACUGUUACUAAUCGGUCGAAAGCU